GAGUUUGCUAGGCAGUAGCAAGAACUGCUAAUUACUUGCUCCCGUAGUUCAACUCCACGGCUAACUCA
rnacentral:tRNA from 1 species